CAAAUUCGCUUUACUGUCCAAACGACGUUAACUUUUAAUUCGUAUUCACAAAAGCGUAUUUCUAAUGCGAAUUAGAUAAUUCGAAUUAGCCAAUUCAAAUCAAUUCGAAUUAAAAAAGAAGAGUGUGUGAACGCGAUUUGCGAAUUCGAUUCGCAUUCGAUUCGAAUUUAAUUCGAAUUAAAUGUACGUGUGAACGAGGCAU
rnacentral:lncRNA from 1 species